UACAGAGGGUGCAAGCGUUGUUCGGAAUCAUUGGGCGUAAAGGGCGUGUAGGCGGUUUGUUAAGUCAUGUGUGGAAUCCCUCGGCUCAACCGGGGAACGACGCAUGAAACUGGCAGCUAGAGUACCAAAGAGGGGGUGGAAUUCCCGGUGUAGCGGUGGAAAUGCGUAGAUAUCGGGAGGAACACCUGUGGCGAAGGCGACCCCCUGGUUGGAUACUGACGCUGAGACGCGAAAGCG
rnacentral:rRNA from 1 species